AUUGCAGCCAACUAUAUCUUACUUUCAAAUGUUUCUUUUCCAUGUUAAUUUUCCUAAACACACAAUUACGUGUCAUUAAUAUCAAAUGUUAAACGUCCUGAUUAAUUUGAUCGCACAAAGAUAUAACAUAUAUCUGAACAAUUGUUGCACUCAGAUGGAUGCAAACUGAAUAGUUUAUCAUCCCAAUUAUAUUAAUAGAUCAUAAUAAAAACCGACUGAAAUAUGUUUAUUAUUUGCACUUCUUUAUAAACAGG
rnacentral:lncRNA from 1 species